GUGGUGUUAGAUUGUUGUGAAGCUGCUUCUGCGCCGUGCUCUGCCUGACUCCUGCGCCCUGCCCCAUGCCGCGUCUCGUCUACAGCAGCAGGAGCGGCAACCCUCUCUCCUCCUCGCUCCUCCCUUCCUCGUCGACACAGCCGCCGCGCCACCUCGCUCCUCCGGUCCUCCCUUCCCCCCCGCAGCCCCAGGAGCUCUGUCGCCUCUUUCGACGAGAUCCACCGCCUCCCGAGGUCCUUAUCCACCCCAGUUCACGAGGAAGCCGCGGGAGGAGGAGAGCCCUCGUCACGAGGAAGCCGCGGGAGGAGGAGCUAAACCGGGCGUCGUCGGCCGAAGGAGGAGAGGUGCGGAUGCCAGCCAUGGAGGCGGAUCGGCUCGCCUCCGCCGCGUCGUGAGCGCCGCCGCUGCCUCUGCAUCCACCUUGCUCCGCAUAGCAGCAUGUGUGCGGAAUCGGGGACAGGCGACCACGAGCAGAUGGCGUCGGCGACAACGGCAACACGCACGGUGCGCGAAGUCCGGUAAGAUGGGCGCGGCCUCACCGUAGGCGUUUCAGGAUGGCGUGCCCGACGGCUCGGAACGCGCCCGCUCGGCGCACAGGAGGUAUGCCUCGGAGCACGCCGGCGACAACGCGCACCGCAAGGCCCCGGAGCAGCCCAGCCAGUAUAGAGCCCCUCCGUACAGGAGGGACCCUGGCGCCAACACAGCCAGCAACGGCGAUGCGUAUGAGAGCUCCGCGCUGGAGGGCAGCAACGAGCACAUCGCGCAGCACAAGGAGGUGAGCUGUGCGCAGGAUCUGCACCGACGCAAGGUGUCUCUGCAUAGCAGCAUGUGUGCGGCGGCGGGGACAGGCAACCACACGCAGAUUUUGGGGAGCGACACGAUGCCAAGGGAUUAUAGGCUUAUUAUUAUAUAGCAAGCAACCGUAGGUGGUGUAGACGAACAAUGUGAGAUGAGAAAGCCACAACGCUGGGGCCCAAAGAAUCAUACUGCAGCAGCAAUAGUCAGCCCAUGAUAAAUCUCUGUUGAGUGCUCCUUUCUCUUUACCUCUUUACUCUUGUGUCUCUGACUUUGAUUUCAUAGCAUAUGUUUUUAGCUUGACACCGUGUUUGCAGAUUUGAUAAAGAAGGGUAGAUGAAGAAUCUAUCAGAAGAUUUUGUUGAACGAAACUUGCAUUUUGAUGUUAUGAGUGUAUUAAUAUAUUCUGCAGUUUUAGGAAAUUAGAUAAUAGGACCGACUAAAGGAGAAUUUCGGUUAAACUAUUUCUUUAUUUGUUUGUGCAACCAAACUUAUUUGGUUCUGAUUGCAAGAUAAUAGGACCAGCUAACGGAGAACUUUUGCUAAAAUAUUUCUUUAUUUUU